ensembl:lncRNA
CAAAUAACAUAAAACCGACUAGCUUAGCUAACUAGCUAGACUUCUCCAAACUGGAAUCUAAUUCUGUAGCUGAGUUUGGCAUGGCUAUCAGUACGCGCUCUCUCCACCUACGUGCUCAGAACAAUGGCCAUUGAGCCCACGACAUGACUGCUUUUCGCAUUAUGUAGUGCUCAAGUUAAAAACGUAGCGGUUACGUUUCUAAAAACAAGAUCAUACAUUUGAAAAUCGAGUUUCAUGUAGAACUAUUCUCUACCUGGAAACCAAAAAAAGAUCAUACGUGGAACCUAAAGGACUGAUUUUGGUAAAGCCGAAGAUUCCGUGUGAUACUCUAGGUCUGGAACUGCUGGGUGUUCUUAAUAAGAAGAUCGCUCCAGCACAGGUCUAAUUAUGCUGGUACGUGUAGAUGAGUGUCGUCACUCAGUGUACAGUACAGUAUUGAGAACUAAUUGGCACAAGGGUAAACUCUCAGAUGAAAAUCAGACAGUCACUGUGGUUUCCUAAGGACACGCCAGUUUCAACCCUCUGUGUUCCCUGCAUGCAGUGUUCAGUAAUGAGAGCAGCAGCAGUUGCUCAUGCCCAGUUUCCAGACAGCCUCUUGCUGAGAGACAGCGAGUGUCUUUCCAGGCAGGCAGGCAGGAGAUAAAGAACUGAUAGAGCCUUCUGGCAGAAGCCCAUCCAGUUCAGUGGGUGUAGCGUUUUUAUGGAGACCACUGGCUAGUUGCCAGGCAAGAUACGUCGGUCUGCCUGGUUGUGUGUGUGUGUGUGUGUGUGUGUGUGCCUCUGCUUGAUAACAGGAGUGUGCUGAGGGAUGGGGCAGCGUUGAGGAAAACAAGCACGCCAGGGGUGGGGUUUGGGGCUCUGCAUGUACGUGUAUGUGAUUCUGUGCCUGCGUGUGCCGGCUCACGCAAUGGAGCCCUCCUAACAGAAACAACUGCAAAAAACAUUUAGGGCAAGUGUUAAACUCCAAUACUUCUUUUCCCUAACUCAGGAUUCACAGCAGCAGACCAAGCCCCUGCUCUCGUGCUUUCCCUCCCCCCCUUUUAUUCAUGCUCCCCCUUUCUUCCCUCCCCCUCAUAUAUACUGUUCUCUCUGGGCUGGCUGUUGUUGACUGACUGACUGACUGACAGUACUGAUUUACUCCAGGCUUGGACGGCUGCCAGCUCAUCUCAAACAAUUGCACGAGUUCCUGGGUCGACAGAGCCAAGUUCUAGAGGCUACAAACUAAAUAGUAGACUGGUUCUAUCUAUGCACAGGCGAGUCCUGAAAGCCAGGGCCCCAUGCAGCACAAUAUGCAGCUGUGGAGAGACCCCACCUCACAGCCUGGACACCACCACCCGCUUCAUAUUUCUCGUCUGUACAAUGUAUAUAUUUUGACAUCAUGUUCAGUCCCAUAAGCACCACACUUUUUUUUGGUUUCUGGUUUAAAGAUAGACCAACUGGCAGGUUUCUGUUAGAUUAACUAAAAACAGGCACAGAGAAAGAAAGCGAUAUGAUUGCACUCACAGGGCUUGUAUUGUGCCCCAUGCAACUGUAGGUCUAAUUAAAAUAAUAACGUUUGUUAAAUGGUUGGAGUUAAUACUUUUGGAUUGAAAAUGUCGACCCAAGUUUGAGCAGAAACCAGAUUUGAUCCCAUUCACGUUUUCUCAUAUUGGCUUAUUACCACUUUCUGUACACCAAGCAAAUAGUAGCCUCCAAGUACAUCUGUAUCAUUGCAUUCUUCUUACCAUCCCUCUAGUUUGGCUAUUUCUGAGAAACCUUUCCUGUCACAGAAGGCAAAACUACAAUCCACAAUGCCUUACCAAUUGAAGCAGGCUUAAUUUUUUUCUCUGAAAAAAGUAAACCAGAGGGCUUACUCUUUGUGGUCUGGACCAAAGCUGUUGUCAGGGAUGCAGGGUUGGAACGUUUAAACUCCUCUUCCGCCACAGUCAAUCAUUUUGCUUACUAGCUUACUUGAGUCACACACUGUGUAGCUCAGCUGGCAUUGUGCUUGCAAUGCCACUGUGGUGGGUUUGAUUCCAAUGGAGGAAAAGACAAAAAAGUAUGAAAACUGAUGCACUUACAACUGUCAUUUUCUCUGAAUAAGAUAUCUGUUUAAUGGUGUAAACGUUAGUUAAAUGGCUGAUGUGAAAUUCACUAUCAAAACAGAGCUAGCUAGUUAAAUACAAGGGCCAUCACCAGCCUUGCCUUGCUUGAUCUUCAUGGGUUGGGCGGGGUACUCCGCGGAUGUUGAAACAGAGCAUGCACCCUGGAUAUGAAGAGUUGGACUUCUCUCGAUGAACAUGUGCCAUUGGGCUUAUUUACAUUAUGAAAGAGGGAAUAAAAUGCUAGAUAGACUUAAAUCUAGUGGCCAGAGAAUGAUUACAAAUCUGUUGCAAUUUAUUGAAAACUCAAAACUGAUACAUCGCAUGUACAUUCAGGUUCUUUGUCGUGACACUCCAAAUGGAGCUCAGAUGCAUCCUGUGAUCAUCCUUCAGAUGAUUUGGAUGGAUUCUUCCUAUAACAAACUCAAUUGAGCUUCAGAGUUUCUCUGCAGAGGUGUGAGAGCCUGUCAGAAGGACAACCUUUUCUGCAGCACUCCAUCAAUUGGGCCUGUAUGAUAGAGUAGCUAGACAAAAGCCUAUCCUGGGUAAAUGGCAUAUGAGAAGGUUACUAAAGAACUCUCAGGGCAUGAAGAAAAAUAUUUUCUGUUUUGACAAGACCAAAAUCAAGCAAUUAAGCAUUAAUGCCAAUGCCAAAAAAAGGUUACCGCUCAUCACCUGGCUAAAGGUGAAGCAUGGUGGUGGGAGCAUUAUGUUAUGGGGAUGCUUCUCAGUGCUUCUCAAAGAGGACCUUAGACUGGGGGUGAAUAUUCAUCUUUCAGCAUGACAACGACUCAAAGCACACAGCCAAGACAGUACAGGAGUGAAUGUGACAUGUGAAUGUCCUUGAGUGGCCCAGCCAAAGCCCUGACUUGAACUCCAAUGAACAUCUGUAGGGAGACCUGAGGUUUACAGUCCACCGACACUCCCCAUCCAGGAUAUUCAAGGAAGAAAAGGAGGAACUGCCCAAAUCCAGAUGUGCAAAGCUGGUAGAGAUAUACCCAAGACUCAAUGCUGCUGUUUUGGCUGCCAAAGACGCUUCUACAAUGUGCUAAAUGAAGUGUUGGAAUAUUUACAAUUUUAAAUUAAGUCUAUGAUUGCCAUAAAUACAAAUGAUGUACUAUACUGUCCCAUGUACAUUAAGAUAACUCUAUUUCCAAAUUUUCUCUUUCUUCUUUUCCAUGAAUAACUUAAUUUAACUGACUUGUUGAUAAGGAGGCGAUACACAAAAACUUUGUUGCACCAACAAAAACCUAUAAUAUACUGUAUAUGCAACCAAUUAAACUAUGAACUUGAAAGGCUAACAGAAAUUCAGACCGGUCUGUUUCUGCCAUAAUGCUAUAACAAGAUGUUGAUUUAAGGAAAGACAGCUCCAUUAAGAAGAGUCACUCUGUGAGGUUAGUAUUGUAGUUACUGGGUUUGAGCAUAAAGCUUCAGAAACCCUCCAUCCCAUUCCCAUUGUCAUUCACUCACAUGCUGAGGUCACUGUGCUGGCCAUUACAGCCAAUUAACAGACUCUUCCCUUACAUUGAAGCUGGCGUUAUUACCCAGUGGACCCAUGUAAACUCCUGAACCCAGACUCAUCUCAGAGACAACACAGAGACAUCUGGAGCUAGAAGUCACCUGGGAUGGACUCAGACUCCAGUGAUCGUCUCUGAGCUGGCAGCUCAUUAUUAACCUGAUGACACCAUGGGAGCAUCAACACAUUUCACAGGAUCAACAAAACAGAAAAUGCUAUAUAUUUUAUUAUUAACUUUGGG